rnacentral:rRNA from 1 species
UACGGAGGGGGCGAGCGUUAUUCGGAAUUAUUGGGCGUAAAGGGCUCGUAGGCGGCCAACUAAGUCAGACGUGAAAUCCCUCGGCUUAACCGGGGAACUGCAUCUGAUACUGGAUGGCUUGAGAUUGGGAGAGGGAUGCGGAAUUCCAGGUGUAGCGGUGAAAUGCGUAGAUAUCUGGAGGAACACCGGUGGCGAAGGCGGCAUCCUGGACCAACACUGACGCUGAGGAGCGAAAGCCAGGGGAGCAAACGGG